UUCCUUUCCCCAGGUACAAAUUUUACUUAUUAAAAAGGUAAUGAUGCUUUAUAUUUCUGAAUCAUCUCAUAAUGUACAAAAUAUCUUGAGAAGGAUGUAGUGAAAGCAUGUUCAUUCUCAUUUUCUUUUCAUUCUAAUUUAUAGACACAGAAAUUGGGACUCCAGCAAGUUCAAUGACCAAUUACCCUAGAUGGCAGACUAUCUAUCUUCCGUAUUCAACCUUGAUUAGCUGUAAACAGCUGUCUGAAAGAUGAAGAAAUGAAGCAAACCUGGUUAAGUGAUGUGCCCAGGUUGACACAGCUAGUGAGUUGUUGAAGCAUGAUUUUAGCUUAUGAAAAUGAAUCAUCCUAAUUCUAAACCCAGGGUUCAAUUCACUGUGACACCUAGCUAUUCUAUUAUAUAUGUGGUAAGUAGCAAUUCUUAUACCAAACCCAGGAAUCCUUUUAUUAUAUUUUUUAUAUCUCCCUAAAACAUUUAUUUUACUUUUGAGUGAGCAUAUAGCAGCAGUGUAUGAAAGGUUGUGGAAUUAGUGCCAUGUUAUAGGUGAGAUGUUAGGAAUUAUAUUUUCUAAAUUUUUAUAUAUGUUAUAAUUACUCACCUUAUAAAGUUUGGUACAAUAUCAAAAUAUAGCAGAAAAAAAUUCAGUACCUCAGUCCUUCAAUUAACUUGUGUUCUGACAGGUGUGCCAUAUCUUUGCACCCUAUGC